rnacentral:tRNA from 1 species
UUCGAGGUAGCUUAAUGGUAGAGCGUUUGACUACGACUGUUUCUAUCUUACGAUUGCWAGUAUAGAUUAUUAUWAAAAAUAGUUUGCCCUAGCAAUUAUAAGUACCACGAUAUCAAAAGGUUCGGGGUUCAAGUCCCCGCUUCGAAG